rnacentral:rRNA from 1 species
AUUGAACGCUGGCGGCAGGCCUAACACAUGCAAGUCGAACGGUAACAGGAAGAAGCUUGCUUCUUUGCUGACGAGUGGCGGACGGGUGAGUAAUGUCUGGGAAACUGCCUGAUGGAGGGGGAUAACUACUGGAAACGGUAGCUAAUACCGCAUAACGUCGCAAGACCAAAGAGGGGGACCUUCGGGCCUCUUGCCAUCGGAUGUGCCCAGAUGGGAUUAGCUAGUAGGUGGGGUAACGGCUCACCUAGGCGACGAUCCCUAGCUGGUCUGAGAGGAUGACCAGCCACACUGGAACUGAGACACGGUCCAGACUCCUACGGGAGGCAGCAGUGGGGAAUAUUGCACAAUGGGCGCAAGCCUGAUGCAGCUAUGCCGCGUGUAUGAAGAAGGCCUUCGGGUUGUAAAGUACUUUCAGCGGGGAGGAAGGGAGUAAAGUUAAUACCUUUACUCAUUGACGUUACCCGCAGAAGAAGCACCGGCUAACUCCGUG